rnacentral:rRNA from 1 species
UUGGGGCCGUUAGGCCUUAGUAGCGCAGCUAACGCGUGAAGUUGACCGCCUGGGGAGUACGGUCGCAAGAUUAAAACUCAAAGGAAUUGACGGGGACCCGCACAAGCGGUGGAUGAUGUGGAUUAAUUCGAUGCAACGCGAAAAACCUUACCUACCCUUGACAUGUCUGGAAUGCCGAAGAGAUUUGGCAGUGCUCGCAAGAGAACCGGAACACAGGUGCUGCAUGGCUGUCGUCAGCUCGUGUCGUGAGAUGUUGGGUUAAGUCCCGCAACGAGCGCAACCCUUGUCAUUAGUUGCUACGCAAGAGCACUCUAAUGAGACUGCCGGUGACAAACCGGAGGAAGGUGGGGAUGACGUCAAGUCCUCAUGGCCCUUAUGGGUAGGGCUUCACACGUCAUACAAUGGUCGGGACAGAGGGUCGCCAACCCGCGAGGGGGAGCCAAUCUCAGAAACCCGAUCGUAGUCCGGAUCGCAGUCUGCAACUCGACUGCGUGAAGUCGGAAUCGCUAGUAAUCGCGGAUCAGAAUGUCGCGGUGAAUACGUUCCCGGGUCUUGUACACACCGCCCGUCACACCAUGGGAGUGGGUUUCACCAGAAGUAGGUAGCCUAACCGUAAGGAGGGCGCUUACCACGGUGGGAUUCAUGACUGG